UACGGAGGAUCCGAGCGUUAUCCGGAAUUAUUGGGUUUAAAGGGUUCGUAAGCGGUCAGAUAAGUCAGUGGUGAAAUUUCCUAGCUUAACUAGGACACGGCCAUUGAUACUGUUUGACUUGAAUAGUAUGGAAGUAACUAGAAUAUGUAGUGUAGCGGUGAAAUGCUUAGAUAUUACAUGGAAUACCAAUUGCGAAGGCAGGUUACUACGUAUUUAUUGACGCUGAUGAACGAAAGCGUGGGGAGCGAACAGG
rnacentral:rRNA from 1 species